CACCUACGGGUGGCAGCAGUAGGGAAUCUUGCGCAAUGGGCGAAAGCCUGACGCAGCCAUGCCGCGUGAAUGAUGAAGGUCUUAGGAUUGUAAAAUUCUUUCACCGGGGAAGAUAAUGACGGUACCCGGAGAAGAAGCCCCGGCUAACUUCGUGCCAGCAGCCGCGGUAAUACGAAGGGGGCUAGCGUUGCUCGGAAUUACUGGGCGUAAAGGGCGCGUAGGCGGAUACUUAAGUUAGAGGUGAAAGCCCAGGGCUCAACCCUGGAACAGCCUUUAAUACUGGGUAUCUUGAGUUCGGGAGAGGUGAGUGGAACUCCGAGUGUAGAGGUGAAAUUCGUAGAUAUUCGGAAGAACACCAGUGGCGAAGGCGACUCACUGGCCCGAUACUGACGCUGAGGCGCGAAAGCGUGGGGAGCAAACAGGAUUAGAUACCCUGGUAGUCCACGCUGUAAACGAUGAGUGCUAGUUGUCGGCAUGCAUGCAUGUCGGUGACGCAGCUAACGCAUUAAGCA
rnacentral:rRNA from 1 species